GCAGUCGUGGCCGAGUGGUAAAGGCGACGGACUAGAAAUUCAUUGGGGUCUGCCCGCACAGGUUCGAAUCCUGUCGACUGCG
rfam:Ixodes scapularis strain Wikel colony gcontig_1107728785874, whole genome shotgun sequence.